GUCCGAUGGGCUGGAGUGCUGCCAAGCCUCUAAUCCAUCAUGUGACUGACAGGACUUCAGUCCCUGGGAGAAAGUGAUUUUUAGCACAGUUUUCUAUUUCUCUGAAGUUAUCAGCAGUUUCAUUCAGAUCAUACAGAUCAAAUGCCUUCAAGUGCCCCAACAAACAGACUUGGGCUGCCAGCUGGGACAUGGAUACUUUUAAACUAAGCACUGAAGAAAUGCCAAACAAGUGACAAGAUCUACCAAAACACCUUGCAAGUUGGACAUGAGUGAGAAACAUAUUGUCUUCUGUUUUGUGAGAAGCAGCAUGCAACAGGUAUGAUUUGCUACAGUGAAAAGCAAUCACUUCGGUAUGGAGUGAACGGGACUGUAAGUGGAACAAGACUCACAUGAUAUUCUUCAAAGCUUUUUGUUUGCAAGAUGUUAUGAUAGAUGGAGCAUUUUGGUACUCAAGUUCUGCCUGCCACAUUAUAUUUGACUCAAAAUUUUUCACAGCUGAAAUUCCAACAGGUACCUGGCUCUGUAUAAAGCUGCCUUUAAUUACUUGGUGAUUGCAUUGCAUGGCAUUUGUACUGCAUGCGCUACAGGGUGCAGUUAAGCAACAGUGAUCACGUCAGAAAAUGUAUGUUAUACAUGUAGUAAUAUUUUGGUUCUUUGCUGAGAGGAUGCAGAUGAGUUUCAGUGUGAAUAAACAUUGGGUUUAAUGAAGAAAUGCAUGGCUUUACAUGCUUCAAUGCAUGGUUUGUUUUGUUGUUCUUAUUUUAUUAAAUGAGCAGUUUCAUUUUAAGCAAUAGAUAAAUUGUCAUAUAUUAAUGGUAAUACUGUAAAUAAGAAACCUGAUAAAUUCUGUAAACAGUUUCUAUUCCAGGUCAACUUAUUCCAGAGAUCAGAUACGUAACUGGUGCCCUGGGCUGUAUUACACUUCACGAGUCCAGUGAUCAAAUAUUUACUAGGGCUUCCAAUCUGGCCAAAUUAAUACACGUCAAAGGACAGAGUUCACAUCCUCAAUUAAUUUAGCCCUAGGUUUCUUCAAACCUGAGCCCUUAACUGAACAAAACAUUUUUUCUGUACCAUGCUGCAGACCUAUAUGAUCUGGGAAGUAUAGCACUGCCACAAAAAGACCUUCUGUCUUCUAGUAAAUUGAUUUUAUCACAGAAUAAAAUCCUACCUUACAAAUAUCUGAAUCCUAUGUCAAAAGUGCCAAUGAAUGUCAA